CCUACGGUGGGCAGCAGUGGGGAAUAUUGGACAAUGGGCGAAAGCCUGAUCCAGCCAUGCCGCGUGUGUGAAGAAGGCCUUCGGGUUGUAAAGCACUUUCAGUGGGGAAGAAAGCCUUGGGGCUAAUACCCUCGAGGAAGGACAUCACCCACAGAAGAAGCACCGGCUAACUCCGUGCCAGCAGCCGCGGUAAUACGGAGGGUGCGAGCGUUAAUCGAAAUUACUGGGCGUAAAGCGCGCGUAGGCGGUCUGAUAAGCCGGUUGUGAAAGCCCCGGGCUCAACCUGGGAACGGCAUCCGGAACUGUCAGGCUAGAGUGCAGGAGAGGAAGGUAGAAUUCCCGGUGUAGCGGUGAAAUGCGUAGAGAUCGGGAGGAAUACCAGUGGCGAAGGCGGCCUUCAGGACUGACACUGACGCUGAGGUGCGAAAGCGUGGGUAGCAAACAGGAUUAGAUACCCCAGUAGUC
rnacentral:rRNA from 1 species